rfam:Oryza sativa Japonica Group DNA, chromosome 11, cultivar: Nipponbare, complete sequence.
AAUAAAUGCAGUUUCAUACAGUUCAUGUCCAACUUUUAACCGUUCAUCUUGUUUGAAAUUUUUUUAUGAUUAAGAUUUUUAUUGUUAUUAGAUGAUAAAAUAUGAAUAAUAUUUUAUGUGUGACUAAUUUCUUUUAUAUUUUCAUAAUUUUUUUAAAUAAGAGAGACGGUCAAACGUUGAACACGGAUGUCCA